CAUCGUAGGGUGCGCUCCGCCCUGCCCUGCGGCGCGCCCGCAACAUGUCGGCCCCGGCGGUGGCGGCUCCUGCCGCGUCUGCCGGGCGGGGAAGCGGCUCCGGCUCCUCGCGGGGCUUUUACUUCAACACGGUGCUGUCGCUGUCCCGCUCGCUGGCCGUGCAGAGACCCGCUCCCCUGGAGAAGGUGCAGAAGCUGCUAUGUAUGUGCCCUGUGGAUUUCCAUGGGAUUUUCCAGCUAGAUGAGCGUCGCAGAGAUGCUGUGAUUGCUUUGGGAAUUUUUCUCAUUGAGUCUGAUCUUCAGCACAAAGAUAGUGUGGUCCCUUAUCUUCUCCGGCUUCUGAGGGGUCUUCCCAAAGUACAGUGGAUAGAAGAAAGCACUGCACGAAAAGGCAGAGGCAUGCUUCCAGUUGCAGAAAACUUCAGCUUCUGCUUGGUGACUUUGUUGUCAGAUGUUGCCUAUAGGGAUGCCACUCUUAGAGAACAGGUUUUAGAGGCAAUUCUGCAAGUGAUGCAGUUCCUGCUAGGAAUGUGCCAGUCCCCACAAAACCAGGAAAAAGAAUACUUGUGCAAAUAUGCAGUGCCGUGUCUGAUUGGAAUUUCACGAGCAUUUGGUCGCUACAGCAAUUCAGAAGAGUCUCUCCUCUCAAAGCUUUUCCCUAAAGCUCCUCCACAUUCCCUGAAAGUCCCGGAAGAACUUGAAGGAAUUCGCAGACGUUCUUUUAAUGAUUUUAGAUCAAUUCUUCCCAGCUCUCUUCUCACUGUCUGUCAAGAAGGAUCCUUAAAGAGAAAGACCAGCAGUGUGUCCAGCAUCUCACAGGUCAGUCCUGAACGUGGAAUUCCCCCUCCCAGCUCCCCUGGAGGAUCUGCCAUUCAUUACUUUGAAGGGUCCUACCUACCUGAUGGGAGUGCAUUGGACCCUGAUUAUUACUUCUCUACAAUCAGCUCUAGCUUCUCAGUUUCUCCUCUCUUUAAUGGUAUUAGUAACAAGGAAUUUGAUAUUCCACUGGAAAUGCUCCGCCAGCUGCUGCUCAUGGUGAAACAGAUUGUUGGGGAUUCUGUUCUCAAAAACUUAGAUGCAGUUGUAGAUGAAGUUGCAGAGAUAAGUCCUAAUGCAGAUCUCUAUUAUAAAACAUUCAGUGACCCUCUUUACCUUGCCCAGUUUAAAAUGUUAAGAGACACGUUAUACUACAUGAAAGAUCUUCCAAACUCAUUUGUUAAGGAAAUCCAUGAUUUUGUGCUGGAACAGUUCAACAGCAGCCAGUCAGAGCUUCAGAAAAUCCUGCAUGAUGUAGAUCGGCUACACAAUGAACUGAGCCCUCUGAAAUUGCGUUGCCAGGCUAAUGCAGCUUGUGUGGAUCUCAUGGUGUGGGCUGUGAAAGAUGAGCAAGGUGCAGAAAACCUGUGCAUCAAACUGUCGGAGAAGCUGCAGUCCAAGACCUCCAGCAAAGUCAUCAUUGCUCACUUGCCGCUGCUGAUCUGCUGCUUGCAGGGUCUAGGUCGUUUGUGUGAGAGGUUCCCUGUUGUGGUUCAUUCUGUGACUCCAUCUUUGAGGGACUUCCUCGUUAUUCCUUCCCCAGUGCUGGUAAAACUUUACAAGUACCACAGCCAGUAUCACACAGUAGGUGGCAAUGACAUCAAAAUCAGCGUAACAAAUGAGCAUUCAGAGUCCACUCUAAAUGUAAUGCCCGGCAAGAAAAGUCAACCAUCCAUGUAUGAACAGCUUCGAGACAUUGCCAUAGACAACAUCUGCAGGUGCUUGAAAGCUGGCCUGACUAUAGACCCAGUGAUUGUUGAGGCUUUCCUAGCCAGUUUGUCUAACCGUCUGUACAUCUCACAGGAGAGUGACAAGGAAGCCCAUUUGAUUCCUGACCACACAAUUCGAGCUCUGGGGCACAUUGCAGUGGCUCUUAGGGACACUCCCAAAGUGAUGGAACCUAUCCUGCAGAUCCUGCAGCAGAAGUUCUGCCAGCCACCAUCUCCACUUGACGUACUCAUCAUUGACCAGCUGGGCUGCUUAGUUAUCACUGGAAACCAAUAUAUUUACCAGGAGGUAUGGAAUCUAUUCCAGCAAAUCAGUGUAAAGGCAAGCUCAGUUGUUUACUCUGCCACUAAAGAUCACAAGGAUCAUGGAUACAGACACUGUUCCUUAGCUGUCAUUAAUGCCUUGGCUAACAUAGCUGCUAACAUUCAGGGAGAACACCUUGUGGAUGAAUUACUAAUGAAUUUGCUGGAACUGUUUGUACAGCUUGGACUGGAAGGAAAGAGAGCCAGUGAGAGAGCAAGUGAAAAGGGCCCCGCACUAAAGGCCUCCAGUAGUGCAGGGAACCUGGGAGUGCUUAUUCCUGUUAUUGCUGUGCUCACCAGACGUUUACCACCCAUCAAGGAGGCCAAACCCAGGUUACAGAAGCUCUUCCGUGAUUUUUGGCUGUAUUCGGUACUUAUGGGAUUUGCUGUGGAGGGAUCAGGUCUUUGGCCGGAAGAGUGGUAUGAAGGGGUAUGUGAGAUAGCCACUAAGUCUCCACUGCUCACAUUUCCCAGCAAAGAACCUCUUCGAUCUGUUCUUCAGUACAACUCUGCCAUGAAAAAUGACACAGUGACUUCUGCUGAACUGAAUGAGUUACGGAGCACCAUCAUAAAUCUCUUGGAUCCUCCUCCAGAAGUGUCUGCUCUGAUCAAUAAGCUGGACUUCGCUAUGUCUACCUAUCUACUGUCUGUUUACCGUCUAGAGUAUAUGAGGGUAUUGCGUUCAACAGACCAAGAUCGCUUCCAAGUGAUGUUUUGCUAUUUUGAGGAUAAAGCUAUUCAAAAAGACAAAUCUGGGAUGAUGCAGUGUGUGAUAGCUGUUGCAGAUAAGGUGUUUGAAGCUUUCCUUACAAUGAUGGCUGAUAAAGCUAAAACUAAAGAGAAUGAAGAGGAGCUGGAGCGACAUGCUCACUUUCUCCUAGUGAAUUUUAACCACAUUCACAAGAGGAUCAGGAGGGUUGCAGACAAAUACUUAUCUGGUCUUGUAGAUAAGUUCCCUCAUUUACUGUGGAGUGGAACUGUGCUCAAGACCAUGUUAGAUAUCCUCCAGACGCUGUCACUCUCUCUCAGUGCGGACAUUCACAAGGACCAACCAUACUAUGACAUUCCAGACACCCCAUAUAGAAUCACUGUCCCUGAUACAUAUGAAUCAAGAGAGAGUAUAGUGAAGGACUUUGCUGCCCGGUGUGGGAUGAUUCUUCAAGAAGCAAUGAAAUGGGCUCCUUCUGUCACAAAGUCCCACCUUCAGGAGUACCUAAAUAAACAUCAGAAUUGGGUGUCAGGCUUGUCUCAGCACACCGGGCUGGCUAUGGCUACAGAAAGCAUUCUCCACUUUGCAGGCUACAACAGACAAAACACCACCCUGGGGGCAACCCAGCUAACUGAAAGACCAGCCUGUGUAAAGAAAGAUUACUCCAACUUUAUGUCUUCUCUUAACUUGCGCAAUCGCUACGCAGGAGAGGUGGCUGGAAUGAUUCAUUUCUCAAAUGCUACAGGUCGGGUAUCUGACCUGAAUAAACUGAUGAUCAAGCAACUAAAUGAUGCACUAGAACCAGGCCAGCCUCAAGUCUACACCCAGGCCAUGUUUAUGUUGACUGCAAUGCUAAUAAGUAGCAAAGACUGUGACCCUCAGCUCCUGCAUCACUUGUGCUGGGGCCCCCUGCGAAUGUUCACUGAACAUGGCAUGGAAACAGCAAUUGCUUGCUGGGAGUGGCUACUUGCUGCUAAGAAUGGAAUAGAAGUACCGUUCAUGCGAGAAAUGGCAGGAGCCUGGCAAAUGACAGUGGAGCAGAAAUUUGGCCUGUUUUCUACUGAGCAGAAAGAAGCAGAUCCAUUAGCUGCUUCAGAAGAGAGUCAGCCAAGGCCUUGCCCUCCAGAGGUCACACCACAUUACAUCUGGAUAGAUUUUCUGGUGCAGAGAUUUGAAAUAGCCAAGUACUGUAGUUCUGAUCAGGUCGAGAUCUUCUCCAGCCUGCUACAGCGAUCCCUGUCUCUGAAUAUUGGAGGGGCAAAGAGCAGUUUGAACCGACACGUGGCAGCUAUUGGACCCCGCUUCAAGUUGCUGACACUUGGGUUGUUUCUGCUGCAUGCUGAUGUCGUUCCAAAUGCAACCAUUCGCAAUGUCUUGAGAGAGAAGAUUUAUUCUACUGCCUUUGAUUACUUCAGUUAUCCCCCAAAAUUCCCCACACAAGGGGAGAAGAGGCUACGUGAGGAUAUCAGCAUAUUGAUCAAGUUUUGGACUGCCAUGUUCUCCGAUAAGAAGUACUUAACAGCCAGCCAGCUGGUGCCUCCUGAUAAUCAAGACACCCGGAGUAACCUGGAUAUCACCAUUGGAUCUCGGCAGCAGGCCACACAGGGAUGGAUAAAUACUUACCCGUUGUCCAGUGGCAUGUCAACCAUCUCCAAAAAAUCAGGGAUGUCUAAGAAGACUAACAGAGGUACCCAGCUACACAAGUACUACAUGAAACGGAGGACACUGCUGCUCUCGUUGCUGGCUACUGAGAUUGAGCGUUUGAUCACCUGGUACAACCCGCUCUCCUCCCCUGAACUGGAGUUGGAUCAAACUGCAGAGAACACCGUGGCAAAUUGGAGAUCUAAGUACAUCACUCUAACUGAGAAACAGUGGAAGGAUAAUGUGAAUUUGGCUUGGAACAUUUCCCCUCAUCUUGCUGUGCAACUGCCUACCAGAUUUAAAAACACUGAAGCUAUUGGAACAGAAGUGACUCGCCUGGUUCGGCUGGACCCAGGAGCUGUUAGUGAUGUACCUGAAGCAAUAAAGUACUUGGUUACAUGGCACACAAUUGAUGCAGAUGCACCUGAGCUCAGCCAUGUUCUGUGCUGGGCACCAACAGAUCCACCUACUGGCCUUUCCUAUUUUUCAAGCAUGUACCCACCUCAUCCUCUAACAGCUCAGUAUGGAGUUAAAGUCCUGCGGUCCUUCCCUCCGGAUGCCAUUUUAUUUUACAUUCCACAGAUUGUGCAAGCCCUUCGCUAUGAUAAGAUGGGCUAUGUCAGGGAAUACAUCCUGUGGGCGGCUGCCAAAUCCCAGCUUUUGGCUCACCAGUUUAUCUGGAACAUGAAAACCAAUAUCUUCCUGGAUGAAGAGGGACAUCAGAAAGAUCCUGAUAUCGGGGAACUGCUGGAGCAGCUAGUAGAAGAGAUGACCAGUUCAUUAUCUGGGCCAGCCAAGGAGUUCUACCAACGGGAAUUUGAUUUCUUUAAUAAAAUCACCAAUGUUUCAGCCAUCAUCAAGUGCCACCCAUACCCAGACCACCUCGAACCCCAAUGGGGACCGCUCCUCCCUAUUCUGAAGAAAUCUACACUUAUUCUUUGGACUCCGCACUGGGGGAGGAGGAGACUUCCCCCGUGCAGGAAACCUCUCCCCAGAAUAUUGCUACCAUCCCUCUACCCGCUGUACUAGACCCUAUAGAGGAAGGAGAAAUAAUAGAGGAACCUCUGGAUGUUCUCCCUCCAUAUUUCAUCAUCCUCUCCAGAUGAAGAAGCUAUUUCAGAGUCAGCGUCUCCCUGCCAGAGGACUGUAAGAUCUUCCAGGACUCGGGAGGAGGGUAGUUACUUCCGUAGUAGUGCAGGUGGUACUUGUGUAAGGAAAACCCACGCGCACUCUGUGGUAUUUUACAGACUCCUGCCCCGGGAAGGGUUGCCUUGCCCAUCAAUGAAGCCUUGCUGGAGCCAAUGAAAACCCUUGUGACAGACCCUAACCUCUACACCAGCCGUUCUCAACAGGGGGUCCACAAAGCAGGGCCAGCGUUAGACUGGCUGGGGCCCAGGGCAGAAAGCUCAGAGCCCCGGCAUCCCGGAGGGGGAGAGAAGCCCUGGUGCCCCACUGAAGCCCUGAGCACCCCCUCCCCCUGUGCUGGGCCCUGGAGUUUUUAUGUCAUAUUGGGGAGGGGGGGCCUCAGAAAGAAAAAUGUUGAGAAGCCCUGCUGUAUACCAUCUGUGGCCAAGGGAAUGGACAGAUGAUAUCAAAUCCCUCAACAAGAUUUUGAUUAUUUUUUUAACCGACCCAGUUCCUUGUGGUCAUGGCUGCUAAUGAGUAGUCUCGUCAGUCCCAUCCUAAAGCCACUCCCGAAGACCAGGAAUUCAAGGGACUGGAUUUAUAGGGUCGAAAGGCUUAUUCCAUCAUUGCUCUUCCAAAAACGGGUGGCUAACUAUUGGGCUUUUAUCUAAAUACAUUUUUUUUUCUGCAAUUUCUAAGUUUGCUGACAAGUUGCCAGAGGAAUAUAAGGGACAGUUUGAAGCUUAAUUUGAGGUCACUUCACAGCCUGAACAUUCCUUCAAGCAGCUGUUGACGUUGCUGAUAUGAAUUCAUGGUCAGUGGCCACUGUGAUUUCCAUUAGGCGCUCUUCCUGGCUGCAGUCUUCUGGCAUUCCAAAGGAGUUGCAAAAUGCAACAGAAGAUUUACUCCUCAAAGGAUCUUAAACCAUCUCCCAACAAAAUGGACCAUGCUGUGCGCACCCUGAGAGACUCUUGUGCAACAGUGGUGGUAGCGGCUUACCAGUGCCGUUUAACCAUUCGGAAAUUUCCUUACCUGGAUGAUUGGCUAGUUUGUGGAACGUUUAGUGACCAGGUCCAAAACAGCAUCCCUGUCAUCAGACAGGUGUUCUUUCGUCUGGGCCUGAAAAGAAAAAAAAGGACAAAUUACAAUCAACACAGUGUAUAACUUUCAUGGGUGCAGACCUUGAUGCCAUGAACCCUCUUGCUAACCUUCUUAGGGGAAAGGUUUCGCUCUGUAGCCUUUCUUGAAAGCCGCAACAUCAUCCGCGUGUGCCUGCCUAUAGCUCCUGGGCCACAUGACCUCAUGCACUGAGGAAACUUCACAUGUCAGACUUCACCUUCGCUGUCUGCAGUCCUGGCUCCAGUCAGUGUAUCGUCCUUCUAGUCACCCUCUGAACACGCGGAUUUGUGUACCUGCUCAAGUGCUUCAGACUCUGAAUUGGUGGUUAGAUCCACAGAAUGUAUGCAAAGGAGUUUCGUCUCUGUCCCCAGAACCAAUUAUGACUCUGGUAAUGAAUGGAUCUACCAAAGACUGGGAGACCCAUCUCAGUCAGCUUCAGGCACAAGCUCUUUGGUCACCCCAGGAAGUUUCUUUCCAUUUAAAUGUACUGGAACUCAGAGCUGUUCAUCAAGCCUUUGAGAUGUUUGUCCACCAUCAAGACCUAGGUGAUGGAAGUUUUUUGUGGACAACUCCGCCAUGUUUUAUCUGAACAAGCAGAAAGGUGCAAGAUCAUCUCAGCUAUGCCAGGAUGCCAUCCUCCUAUGGAACCUGUGUGUAAGAAACUGCGUCUCCCUGAAGCUGUUCUCCUUCUAGGAGUGAGAGAAACAACUGGGGAUUCCCUCAUCAGGGAUUUCGUAGCCCAACACAAGUGGUCAGUCAGAAAGGACAUUCUCCUCUAGAUUUUCUCCCCGUGAGUACCCAGUAAUAGACUUGUUCGCCACCAACCUGAACAACAGAUGGAGGAGAUUUUGCCCCACGGCGGGCCACGGCCUGGGCUCCAUCACAGAUGCUUUCCUUCUCCCUCGGUCCAGUCAAUUUCAAUAUGCUUUCCUCCUGGUUCCUCUCUUUCCAGGGAUACUCAGGAAGCUGAAAAGAGACAAAUCAACAUUAAUCCUCCUGCCACUGGCAUGGCCCUGGAUCUGCAUCACCUCUCCAUCUGGUCACUGAUAACUUUUCCUCUAGUCAAGGAUCUCCUCUCUCAGAACCAGGGCAGGUCUCUUCAUCCCAACCUCCAGUCUCUCCACUUCACAACAUGGAUGAUCUCUGGUUAAAUUCUAAUGAGAAAUCAUGCUUCCAAGACAUUCAGACCAUCUUGGUGAACAGCAGAAAAUAUUCCACUACAGCCAGCAAAGAGGAAGAGAUUUUUAAUUUGGGCACAAUCUCAACACUUACUGCUCCAUCACCCAGAGGUUAGACAUGCUGGACUAUCUGUUGCACCUGAUAUCAUCAGGCCUUUUGAUUAGUUCUGUGAGAGUUCUCCUGGCUUCCAUAUCUACAUUACAUCCACCAGGGUUUUCCAUUUUCUCUCACCCUCUGGUUUCCUGAUACUUGAAAGGUUUACUCAACACUUACCCUCCUGUGUCUGAUCCUGGACCUAUAUGGGAUCUCAGACUAGUCCUCUCCAAACAGAUAGGAUCCUCCUUUGGACUUAUGGUGACAGCCUCAUUACCUUUACUGUCUAUGAGGACCGUGUUUCUAGGUGGCAAUCACUUCUGCAUUCGAUUUACUCUUGUGCAUCGGGUGCACAUAUACCUUCAGAGGAAUAUACAUCUGCGUAACACAUCUCUAAGAACAACAUUUACUUUACAGGCCAUUCCCUAAAGGAGAUGAAAGAAAGAAAGCUUGUUUGAGUGCUCUGUCUGAGGUGAAAGUACAGCCUG